UAAGUACUUUAGGGCCAAAAGUGCCCUAUGGUAAAAUUUUGUGACAACAUAAUGCUUGAAACAUAAAUAUAAAUUUCCUCAAUGCCACACCAUAUCUACGAUUGCCUUGAAUGACUUCUCACCCUUGGUGAACGGGAAUAAGAACGAGAUCCAGAACGAGAAUGGGAGUGAGACCGAGAACCGGAGCGAGAAUGGUAUCUUCGAGAACUCCUGCUCCUACUUGGACUUCUACUGUGUCGGUGUCUUCUAGGUGGAGAUCGACUAUAGCUCCUACUGCGGCUACGACGCCUAUAACGACUUAACCGGUUUGUUUCUGCAAGUUUCUCCAGCCUCUGACGCUCCUGUUCUCGUUUCUUGGCAAUUUCAGCAGCAGUAUCUUUUUUAAUU
rnacentral:misc_RNA from 1 species